rnacentral:rRNA from 1 species
AUGUUAAUGGUUGUGGCAGAAAAUAUGCAGACGAUCAUUAUUGAGACAGAUUGCCAGACAGUCUGCAGUAUGUGGAAUGUGAAGGAGGACAGAUCUGCGGGAUCGAUGUUGAUUAAUGAGAUGAAGUCAUAUCUCAUAAACUUCCAGGAAUUCAAACUGAAUUUUGUACGUAGAAGUGCAAACACCCCUGCUCAUAUUUGCGCUAGGGGGGCACUAGUUUUAGCUGAUCAUUCUGUUGAUCAUCAUGUAAUUCCUGAGAACCUGAUUGCGGCUGUGCAAUCAGACCUUGUUCCGCCUAUUAUUCAAUAA